CUCUAUUCGGUGUUAUUGAAAACUAUUUUAAAAAAAAUUUGAUUUUAUCUAAAAUUUUAUAUAUUGUCUUAAGGCAAUACGUGUUGAUCACUCUGUAUAGGUACACACACGUCAUUUUUAUUGUAUUAUAUUACUCGGUAAUACAGUAGUAUUGUUGAACAUCAUUUCGUUGCCUCGAGGGCGUCUAUCUCCGAAAAUCUAUGGGGGAGGGGGAGUGAUGAAUUACUCUUUUAG